GCCAGACAUGGUGGCUCAUGCCUGUAAUCCCAGCUACUUGGGAGGCUGAGGCAGGAGAAUCGCUUGAACCCAGGAGGUGUAGGUUGCAGUGAGCCAAGAUGGUGCCACUGCACUCCAGCCUGGGCUACAGAGUGAGACUCUGUCUCAA
rnacentral:SRP_RNA from 1 species